GUGAGAACUGUGCCGUGUGACGUCACGAGUUGGCGCUGCUACUGGACGUGCGCUGUUAAAAUCGCUUCACACAGAAGCUGCCAUUCAGUGCUGUUUCACUUUAGAAAAGGCAGCCGUGCAGGGAACAGCAGUGGAAGACGAAGCAGAGCUGCCUCCUGCACAAUUUAAUAUAUGGUAGGUGGGUCGCAAGCCCCAUUGUCCUGCGCAAUAAAAACACGGAAUACCCCACGUAAACCCCAAAACGGAGGACUCAAGAGUUUUGGAAUAGCAUUCCUUCUUACUGCAAUUGCGAAAUGGAAAAUUCGUCUUCCAACAACCGGUUUAGAACAACAAUGUUCAACCACGGACCAAGACAAGGACUAUGUGGGCUUUGCAACGCUGCCAAACCAGGUGCACCGUAAGUCUGUCAAGAAGGGCUUUGACUUCACCCUGAUGGUAGCGGGGGAGUCUGGUCUGGGCAAGUCCACCCUGGUCAACAGCCUCUUCCUCACAGACCUCUACAAGGACAGGAAGCUACUCAACGCUGAGGAGCGGAUCACUCAGACAGUGGAGAUCACUAAACACACAGUGGACAUUGAGGAGAAGGGCGUCAAGCUGAAGCUCACCAUUGUAGACACACCUGGCUUUGGAGACGCUGUCAAUAACACUGAAUGCUGGAAGUCAGUGGCGGACUACAUCGACCAGCAGUUUGAGCAGUACUUCAGGGAUGAGAGUGGACUGAACAGGAAGAACAUCCAAGAUAACAGAGUCCACUGCUGCCUCUACUUCAUCUCUCCCUUCGGACACGGUCUGAGGCCUCUGGAUGUGGAGUUUAUGAAGGCCCUUCAUGAGAAGGUCAACAUUGUGCCCAUCCUGGCCAAGGCAGAUACACUCACACCCACCGAGGUCAAGAAAAAGAAAUUCAAGAUCCGAGAGGAGAUCCAGCAGUAUGGGAUUAAGAUCUACCAGUUCCCAGACUGUGACUCUGAUGAGGAUGAGGACUUCAAACAGCAGGAUCAGGAACUCAAGGACAGUAUACCGUUUGCGGUGAUCGGCAGCAACACGGUGGUGGAGGCCAAAGGCAAGAGGGUCCGGGGUCGUCUUUAUCCCUGGGGCAUCGUGGAAGUGGAGAACUCGGCGCACUGUGACUUUGUGAAGCUGAGGAACAUGUUGGUGAGGACACACAUGCAGGACCUGAAGGAUGUGACACGGGAGACCCACUAUGAGAACUACAGGGCUCACUGCAUUCAGAGCAUGACCCGCAUGGUGGUGAAGGAACGCAACCGCAAUAAACUAACCAGGGAGAGCGGCACAGACUUCCCCAUCCCUGUGAUACCAAGUACCACAGACACAGAGACGGAGAAGCUCAUCCGUGAGAAAGACGAAGAGGUACCACGACACUCAGAGCACGAUGAGCACUCAGACCCAACUCUAGAACCCCACUCUGACCCGGGCCUAGACCCAGAGUCUGAACCUGAGGCCUCCUGA
ensembl:lncRNA septin-4